AGCGAACGCUGGCGGCAGGCCUAACACAUGCAAGUCGAGCGGCCGUAGCAAUACGGCAGCGGCAGACGGGAGAGUAACACGUGGGAACGUACCCUUCAGUUCGGAACAACCAAGGGAAACUUUGGCUAAUACCGAAUACGUCCGUAAGGAGAAAGAUUUAUCGCUGAAGGAUCGGCCCGCGUCUGAUUAGCUAGUUGGUGAGGUAACGGCUCACCAAGGCGACGAUCAGUAGCUGGUCUGAGAGGAUGAUCAGCCUCACUGGGACUGAGACACGGCCCAGACUCCUACGGGAGGCAGCAGUGGGGAAUAUUGGACAAUGGGCGCAAGCCUGAUCCAGCCAUGCCGCGUGGAUGAUGAAGGCCCUAGGGUUGUAAAGUCCUUUUAACGGGGAAGAUAAUGACGGUACCCGUAGAAUAAGCCCCGGCUAACUUCGUGCCAGCCGCCGCGGUAACAC
rnacentral:rRNA from 1 species